rnacentral:rRNA from 1 species
AACGAACGCUGGCGGCAUGCCUAACACAUGCAAGUCGAACGAGACCUUCGGGUCUAGUGGCGCACGGGUGCGUAACGCGUGGGAACCUGCCCUUAGGUUCGGAAUAACUCCCCGAAAGGGGUGCUAAUACCGGAUAAUGUCUUCGGACCAAAGAUUUAUCGCCUUUGGAUGGGCCCGCGUUGGAUUAGCUAGUUGGUAGGGUAAAAGCCUACCAAGGCGACGAUCCAUAGCUGGUCUGAGAGGAUGAUCAGCCACACUGGGACUGAGACACGGCCCAGACUCCUACGGGAGGCAGCAGUGGGGAAUAUGGGACAAUGGGCGAAAGCCUGAUCCAGCACGGCCGCGUGAGUGAUGAAGGCCUUAGGGUUGUAAAGCUCUUUUACCCGGGAUGAUAAUGACAGUACCGGGAGAAUAAGCUCCGGCUAACUCCGU